CUCUCUCUCGGCAGAGCCUUCCCAACAGCGUCGCCAGCCCCUUCGCGCUUCCUUCGGCCGCCCUGUGACCAUCUCGGAGCGCCGCUCCACUUGCACCCAACCGCCGGAGAAGAAUACCGCCACCGCCCGCGCUGUUGUCCACUGAACCGGCCAUCCGCUGCGUCGCCUACGCACCUCUUCCAACUGCACGGUCCACAAUCGGCCGGAG
rnacentral:lncRNA from 1 species